GUGAAUCAUCGAAUCUUUGAACGCAAAUUGCACUCUCUUCGGAGAGUAUGCCUGUUUGAGGGUCAGUAAUAAUAAAAUCGGGGUGUUGCUUUCUUUGUGAUGCACCGGGGAUUGGGCUACCUUUAACUCUCGGGUUUAGGAUGCUUAAAAUUGAACUUUUUUGUGCACUUUUAGACGUACAUCUAAUUAUUUUAUCGUCAAUUCUUGA
rnacentral:misc_RNA from 1 species